rnacentral:lncRNA from 12 species
CAGAGAAAUUAGAGAGUAUGCUCAAGGUCACAAACGUAGGAAAUUUUUAAACAGGAUCUGAACCUGCAUUAUCCACUGCACUGGCUCCUUUCCUAAGAGAAAAGUCAUAGUCAUCACUGAGUAAUUAGUGAUCAUUGCGGUGUAGACUUUAGAAAUGGCCCUUGUUGCGAGUCAAACUAAAGGAAGAUCCAGAUCCAAACCAAAGGAAGGGCCAGCUCUCAUGAAUCCAACCUCACUGAUUCAGUGGGAUCUACUCUCCCAAUAAUUUUGGAAUGCAUGAAAGUCAUGAUUUGUCAAAGCAUUUAAAAACUACUUUUGAAAAGUAACUGUUGUGUUAGUAAACAACUACCUUUUCUUUUCAAAUUUCUGCCCAAGAUUAACGGAAGUAAUCUUGCCUCUGGCCAAGGCAAUUUGUGUGUGUGUGUGUGUUUUUUUUAAGAUUUUAUUUAUUUAUUCAUGAGAGAUACAGAGAGAGAGAGAGAGAAAGGCAGAGACACAUGCAGAGGGAGAAGCAGGCUCCAUGCAAGGAGCCUGAUGUAGGACUUGAUCCUAGGUCUCCAGGAUCACACCCAAGGCUGCAGGCAGCCCUAAACUGCUGAGUCACCUGAACUGCCCCAAUUUGUGCUUUUUAAAUUUGUCAGCAAAGGGACUUCCCCGCUGGUUCAUUCAGAAGGCUUACAUCAAUAUAUGAGGGUGUUAAUGCCUAUUAAACACUGCAUCUUUUGUAAGAGAGAAAGAGGUACCUUACAUAUGCCUGUUAGGAAUUCUUUUGGCUCCAUGUAACAGAAUAUGUGAGUGGUCAAAGCAGUAGACGUGCUUGACUUUGUUACAUACACAACAGUCUGGAGAAAAGGCAAACCAGAAAAGGAGUUUAGUUCAAGGAAAUCCUGAAAGAUCCCAGAUCCCCCUGUGUUCUUUCUACUUCACUAACAUGUUCACUUCCUGCCUCAUGGUCAUAAUCUCUACAAUCAAUGCAGGAAGAAGAGUUGUAAAAAGUCAGACUGAAAAGGAUUCAUUCUUUUAUCAAGCUUGAAAAAUGGUGAGUGCUGAACUGUACAAUUUCUUUUUCUUUUUGAAAUUUACAAUGUUCAAUAUGACUAACUCUAUAAGCUAGAGCUCUAAGAAUCACUCAAGGCUCCCAGACAUAUGGCAUUAUGAUCACUUCCUUGGCUGCAUUAAGCCUCACACCCUUAAUU